rnacentral:rRNA from 1 species
GAUGAACGCUGGCGGCGUGCCUAACACAUGCAAGUCGAGCGAACCCUUCGGGGUGAGCGGCGGACGGGUGAGUAACGCGUGGGUAACCUGCCCUGUACACACGGAUAACAUACCGAAAGGUAUGCUAAUACGGGAUAACAUAUGAGAGUCGCAUGGCUUUUGUAUCAAAGCUCCGGCGGUACAGGAUGGACCCGCGUCUGAUUAGCUAGUUGGUAAGGUAACGGCUUACCAAGGCAACGAUCAGUAGCCGACCUGAGAGGGUGAUCGGCCACAUUGGAACUGAGACACGG